AUCCGUGUACAAGUUGCACAACAGUGGAUGAACUACGUCAUCGAUCAUACAGCACGCGCUUUGGGUCAGUGCGACACAAAGCGGAAGCGAGUGUUAAAAAGGAAAUAUUGAGCACAAAAAUUCUGUUUAUCGUCGCUUCCUGUGUUGACAUGCUCAGCAUGAUGCUGAAUGCCAGAAGAUAUUACAGACAACAAUACUGCUCAGUGCAGUAACCAGACCUGGAAAAAAACACUGCUAAAGGCAAGCGUUUGGGACAGAGUGCUGCAUACAUGGGCUUACGCACAAACUGAGAUUUUGCAAGUCAACUGUCAAAGUUAUAAAGGGAGAUGGUUGACAAUGUUGAACAUUGAGUUGAAGUCCUGGAAUCUCGGUCAACUGCAGAUAGCAGCAUGACGUAAAGCAGACAUCUUGUUUCCCAGUUCGAUUUUAGUCAGGUAUUCUUGGUGGUAUGUGACAAAAAAGCCAUUGAGUUAUUUUUUCCUUCCUCUUGAAUUCAUAUAUAUUUUCCUUCCUCUUGAUAUAAUAUAUUAUAUAGAACCAGGGAAAAUGUCAAAUAAAGUUUAUAAAAUUUUCAAAAUGAAGUAAUCAUAAAAUUCCUUCAUUCUAAAGAUAUAUGUCUUUGUCUGAAUUAUAGUAGCAAAUAUAUAUAUUCCUUCUUAUCUUAGAGUGAUAGUAAUAAAUGUAUUGCACAUUAUAAAUAAUUUAAUAAUUCUUCAUAUUAAAGCAUAUUUUAUUGUUUGUUUCUGAAAAAAAAAAACAGUUGACAGACCAUAAUUACUGAUAUUACAUUUUGUCAUAACUAGUUUUAUUUAAACCAGGAUAAGUUUGAACAUUAGCUUUACUUUUUCUGGUAUGAAACUCUGCAGUCAACACAGGUUUAUAGAGGUCUGCAAGUACAGAGUUUUAAAUUGUGAAACAAAGUAAGUUAUUGUGUCUUUCCUAAGACCUUUUGGGCAUGUUUAAGACUUAUACAUGCUAUACAUAUUCACUUUUACUUCUCAGAACUCAUCAUAUAAUAUGUCAUACGAGAUAGCACACAGUACUGUUUGUCCAUAUAGAGUACAUCUUUUAUUUGCUUGAAAAUAUUUUGACUUUUCACAACUGAUGCGGUAUCAGUUGCCCUUUAUUGCUGUGCAUUUGAAACCCACGCUAGAGGUAUAGCAUUCUUUCAUGCAGGAAAGUCAUCCAGCUAGUUAACAUAGUGGUGGUUGUUAAAACAAGUACCUGCUCUUGCCUGAAAUAAUACCUGGGGUCUUCUGUCACCACCAAAAGCUCGAAAGUCAUACUUAAAAAAAAUAGUUUGGUACCUUUAAGUUCCUUAUGUUUUGAUGUUAACAAGUAAGCAGUAACAUUGAACACACCACAUUGAACUGAAAAUAUACUUAUAUAGCUUAAUGAACUAAAUUAGAUUUUAGCUGAAAUGCUUUCAAAGGUCAGUCACACAUGUCUUCUUCAUCAUUAGCUGAUCUCACAGACAUGUCACAUAGAGCUCUCUAGCUUUUAUUUUGUCAGAAUUGUGCCUCUUUUUAGCUCACCUGAGCACAAAGUGCUCAAAGGUGAGCUUUUGUGAUCACCCUGUGUCCGUCGUCGUUGUCGUCGUCAACAAUUUGACUGUUAACACUCUAGAGGUCACAAAUUUGAGCCAAUCUUAAUGAAACUUGGUCAGAGUGUUACCCUCAAUGAAAUCUUGGAAGAGUUUGAUAUUGGGUCAUCUGGGGUCAAAAACUAGGUCACCAGGUCAGAUUAAAGGUAAAGCUUGUUAACACUCUAGAGGUCACAAUUUUGGUCCAAUCUUAAUGAAACUUGGUCAGAAUGUUACCCUCAAUAAAAUCUUGGACAAGCUUGCUAUUGGGUCAUCUGGGGUUAAAAACUAGGUCACCAGGUCAAAUCAAAGGAAAAGCUUGUUAACACUCUAGAAGAUACAUUUUUGGUCCAAUCUUAAUGAAACUUGGUCAGAAUGUAACCCUCAGUAAUGUUAAUCUUGAUGAUCUAUAGGUCAGAUUCAAAUCUGGGUCAGGUGGGUUAAAAACUAGGUCACUAGGGCAAAUUGAAGUAAAAGCUUGUUAACACUGUAGAGGCCACAUUUAUGACUGUAUCUUCAUGAAACUUGGUCAGAAUGGUAAUCUUGAUGAUUUCAAGGUCCAGUUUGAAUCUGGGUCAUGUUGGGUCAUAAGAUAGGUCACUAGGUCAAAUUAAAAGAAAAGCUAGUUUACACUUUAGCGGCCGCAUUUAUACCAUAUCUUAAUGAAACUUGGUCAGAAUGUUAAUCUUGAUGGUCAAUAGGUCAGGUGAGCGAUAAAGGGCCUUCAUGGCCCUCUUGUUUAAACUAGAGAUUUUGGUAACAGUUUUGCCUGUGUCUCAAAAACUACUAGGCCUUCAUAAAUUACUUUGCUGUCAUAAGAUAACCUCACAGGGCAAGUUGUGUAACUCUAGCUUCAGUUUUGUCGAAAUUGUGCCCUUUUGAAUUUAGAAAAUUUUAUUAUUUAAAGAUGAAUGCAUGUAAGCUGGUUUCUCAUAAAUAACUUCCCAUACGAUGAUAAUAUUUUCAGCUUUAGAAUAGUUAAAUACACAUAAACAUGGAUGUAUAUGUAAAAGCCCUGAUUUUAAGGGUUUGGAUAGUAAUAUUUUAAAAUCAGAGUUAUCUCCCUUUGUUAGUUUUAUUGUGUUUUGUGUGCAUUCAUGUGCAUUGACCCUAGGUCAAAGUUUUUCCUCUGAAAUGCUUUAAUUUCAUUGAAUUAAGCUUUCAUAAGAUACCUGGUCAUUGUCAGUAUAGUCAUGUAACUGAAUACUAGGGAUAUAAACUAGCUAUUUUUAUUUAGGGACCCAGACUGUCAAAAACAAAUGUUUAACAUUAGGUAUAUGGGCAUUUUCUCCAACAAUUUAGGGGCCCAGCCAAAAAUCUAGGGGCCGUGGGCUACUGGGCCCCUGCUAAUUUAUAUCCCUGAAUACAUGUAUUGAGCUUUUUAUUUUAAAACAGUUGAAAUCAUAUUGGAUUAAAUACAGGUUUUUAUUUCACUCAUUACAGUUUGUAAUUAUGAAUUCAAUGGUCUCAUGAAGUGCUUAGUAAUGAUUUUAUCUUUUAUGCUAUUGGCUCAUUCUGUUUAGACAGUUUGUUAAUAUUUUGUUUCAUAAAUGACAGUCUUUCUUAUAUCACUGUCUCAUUCUCUAUUUGCACUAUAAACCAUUUAAUCAUUUUCAGACCACUAACCAGAUCACAGAGUGUGUGUGUUGUGGUGUUAUGCUGUGGCUGAGAUACUGCUGUGACAUUUAUAUGUGCAUUUAGGUCCACAACCUGGUAUUAUAUGAGUUGACAUCUGUACAAGACAUCCCUCUGUAGACAGUUCUGAGUGAGCAACAGCCCAAGACACCUUGUUAAUGCUGCCCUGUUAUCUACUGGGUUUCUAAAUACAAGUCAAGUAUCCAUCAAAGAUUGGCCAUGGUGAUUACAGAACUGAAAGCCAAGCUGUGAUUUUUGAAAAUUUAUUAUAAAGUUCUAAAUGGAAAUACAUUGAAAAGCAC